CCUACGGGGGGCUGCAGCUAAGAAUAUUCCGCAAUGGACGAAAGUCUGACGGAGCGACGCCGCGUGGAUGAAGAAGGCCGAAAGGUUGUAAAAUCCUUUUGUUGGGGAAGAAUAAGCGUGGGAGGGAAUGCCCGCGUGAUGACAUGAACCGACGAAUAAGUCCCGGCUAACUACGUGCCAGCAGCCGCGGUAACACGUAGGGGACAAGCGUUGUUCGGAAUUACUGUAGGCGAAUGGCAUGUAGGGGCGUGAAAGUCACCGGCUCAACCGGUGGAUUGCGUUAGGAACUGCAGAGCUUGAGUCAUGGAGAGGAAGGUAGAAUUCCUGGUGUAGGGGUGAAAUCUGUAGAGAUCAGGAAGAAUACCAGUGGCGAAGGCGACCUUCUGGCCAAUGACUGACGCUGAGGUGCGAAAGUGUGGGGAUCAAACAGGAUUAGAUACCCGAGUAGUC
rnacentral:rRNA from 1 species